GCAAUUUUAUGCAAAAAUGCAAUUUCAAGUAGCCAUUUUCAUAAUUUCGAUUACAUUUGAAAAAUUAUCGAUACACAAAUUAUCAUAUGUCACAUCUCUGUGAAAAGAUGUUUUGAAGUUUACCAUAUCUAAGAUAAAGUUAUAUAGCGUGGCCGGGCAUGUAGCUAAUUUUUAGUUGCAGAAUCGAGUGAAAUAAUGCCGAAAGCAAAACAGCGAAAAACGGACAAAUUAGCUUCUUAUGUCGCGAAAUAUCCUAUUUUUAAAACUGGUGGCGUCGUAUUGUUUUGCAAAGCUUGCAACAAGACUGUGUCUUCAGAAAGAUUAUACUCUUUGCAAUCGCAUGUUGCAAGUUUGGCACAUAGUGAAGCGGAAAAAAUCAUCAACAUGUACGCAGCCAUUAUUAACUCAAACCACAAGUUCCAAUCAAAAUCAGUUCGCGCAAGAUUUAUGCAAAGCAUUAGUUGCAUCGGACAUUCCACUUUAUAAAUUAAGGAAUGAAAACCUAAAAAGUUUUUUUUGAAAAUAUGUAGAUUUAACUAUUCCUUCUGAAACCUCCAUGCGUAGAAUAGUUGGUGAAAUUUACAACGAAACUCUUGAAACCAUAAGAAUGCAAAUAAAAACAAAUAUUUGUGGAUAUCGAUUGACGAGACAACCGACUCGUCUGGGAGAUACAUUGCUAACGCCGUCUGUGGCAUAUUGGUUACGGAUCCCGAAGAAGCCAAAAACCAUUUUUUGGUGCAUGUAGCAGAGUUAGAGAAACCCGAUCACGCUGCUAUUGCUAGAUGUUUUGACGAUGCAAUUAAAUUGUUGGACCCAAAAUUUGACAAAACUCGUAUUCUUUUAUUUCUCACAGACGCUGCGCCGUAUAUGGUGAAAGCCGCGACUGCUUUGAAGAUUUUCUAUCCAAAGAUGACGCAUUUAACAUGUCUCAUUCAUGGCCUCCACAGAGUAUGCGAAAAGAUUCGCGAGAGCAGUCCAAAAG